UACGGGGGGAGCAAGCGUUGUUCGGAUUUACUGGGCGUAAAGGGCGCGUAGGCGGCCACCGCAAGUCGGUUGUGAAAUCUCCGGGCUUAACCCGGAAAGGUCAAUCGAUACUGCGGGGCUAGAGUGCAGAAGGGGCAACUGGAAUUCUUGGUGUAGCGGUGAAAUGCGUAGAUAUCAAGAGGAACACCUGCGGCGAAGGCGGGUUGCUGGGCUGACACUGACGCUGAGGAGCGAAAGCGUGGGGAGCGAACAGG
rnacentral:rRNA from 1 species